CAGAUUCGAUUUGUCGGUUUCCGUUACAGAUAUUUAUUUGUUUUUAGGGAUAAUUGUCUAUAUACCCCUCAUACGUUUGAAAAUAUUCGAUUUAUCCUUUUUUUUUUCUUUCUAAAAUACUCUUUAUAUGUUCUACCGUUAUUGCAAAAUACCCCCGCAAUUAUCUCCUGUUAAGUUAACUUGGGUUAAACAUGAGUUAAAUAUCUACCACAGUUAAAAAAAUUAAAAUGUCAAUUUUGCCCUUAACUUAAGGGCAAAUAAGAAAUAUUGGUGAUGGUAGAGGGGUAUAUUGGAAAAGACCAAAAGUCAAAAUACUUUUUGUGUCCCUGACUUUAAGGGCAAAUAAGAAAGUCAGUGAUAGUGGAAGGGUAUAUUUGAAGGGCAAAAUAAUAAUUUUACAGAGAUAACAGAGUUAAUUAACAGAUUUUAACUCUAAGGGUAUAUUAGAAAUAGGUUGGAACGUAGAAAGGGUAUUUUCAAUAUUAGCCUUCUAAGAGGGAUAAAUCAAAAAGUCGAAAACUUUUCAGAGGUAUAUAAGCAAUUGCCCCUUGUUUUUAUAGGUUUUGAACU
rnacentral:lncRNA from 1 species